rnacentral:rRNA from 1 species
UACGAAGGGUGCAAACGUUGCUCGGAAUCAUUGGGCGUAAAGCGCACGUAGGCGGCCUAUCAAGUCGGAUGUGAAAGCCCUUGGCUCAACCAAGGAAGUGCAUCCGAAACUGAUGGGCUUGAAUACUAAAGAGGAACGCGGAAUUCCCGGUGUAGAAGUGAAAUUCAUAGAUAUCGGGAGGAACAUCUGUGGCGAAGGCGGCGUUCUGGGUAGAUAUUGACGCUGAGGUGCGAAAGCGUGGGGAGCAAACAGG